UAGCGAAAUUCCUUGUCGGGUAAGUUCCGACCCGCACGAAAGGCGUAAUGAUUUGAGCACUGUCUCGACAAUGCAUCCGGUGAAAUUGAAGUACCAGUGAAGAUGCUGGUUACCCGCGCCAGGACGGAAAGACCCCAUGGAGCUUUACUCCAGUUUGAUACUGGGAUUCGGUACUGCAUGUACAGGAUAGGUGGGAGACGAAGAAGGAUGGACGCCAGUCUGUCCGGAGUCGCUGUUGGGAUACCACCCCUGUAGUACUGGGUUUCUAACCAGUUGCCAUGAACUGGCAAUGGGACAAUGUCAGGCGGGGAGUUUGACUGGGGCGGUCGCCUCCGAAAGGGUAUCGGAGGCGCUCAAAGGUUCCCUCAGAAUGGUUGGAAACCAUUUGAAGAGUGCAAAGGCAGAAGGGAGCUUGACUGCGACACCGACGGGUGGAGCAGGUACGAAAGUAGGACUUAGUGAUCCGGUGGUAUAAAGUGGGAUUGCCAUCGCUCAACGGAUAAAAGCUACCCUGGGGAUAACAGGCUUAUCACUCCCAAGAGUUCACAUCGACGGAGUGGUUUGGCACCUCGAUGUCGGCUCAUCGCAUCCUGGGGCUGUAGCAGGUCCCAAGGGUUGGGCUGUUCGCCCAUUAAAGCGGUACGCGAGCUGGGUUCAGAACGUCGUGAGACAGUUCGGUCCCUAUCCGGCGCGGGCGGAGGAUAUUUGAGAGGAGCUGUCCUUAGUACGAGAGGACCGGGAUGGACGGACCACUGGUGUAUCUGUUGUCGACCAACGGCAUGGCAGAGUAGCCAAGUCUGGAAGGGAUAAACGCUGAAGGCAUCUAAGCGUGAAGCCCCCCUCAAGAUGAGAUAUCCCUCCUUCGGGAGUAAGACCCCUUGAAGACUACAAGGUAGAUAGGGCAGAGGUGGAAGCAUGGCAACAUGUGGAGCUGACUGUUACUAAUAGGUCGAGGGCUUAAUCUG
rnacentral:rRNA from 1 species